rnacentral:rRNA from 1 species
GACGAACGCUGGCGGCGUGCCUAAUACCUGCAAGUAGAACGCACAGUUUAUACCGUAGCUUGCUACACCAUAAACUGUGAUUUGCGAACGGGUGAGUAACGCGUAGGUAACCUGCCUGGUAGCGGGGGAUAACUAUUGGAAACGAUAGCUAAUACCGCAUAAUAUUAAUUAUUGCAUGAUAAUUGAUUGAAAGAUGCAAUUGCAUCACUACCAGAUGGACCUGCGUUGUAUUAGCUAGUAGGUGAGGUAACGGCUCACCUAGGCGACGAUACAUAGCCGACCUGAGAGGGUGAUCGGCCACACUGGGACUGAGACACGGCCCAGACUCCUACGGGAGGCAGCAGUAGGGAAUCUUCGGCAAUGGACGAAAGUCUGACCGAGCAACGCCGCGUGAGUGAAGAAGGUUUUCGGAUCGUAAAGCUCUGUUGUAAGAGAAGAACGGGUGUGAGAGUGGAAAGUUCACACUGUGACGGUAUCUUACCAGAAAGGGACGGCUAACUACGUG